GAUGAACGCUGGCGGCGUGCCUAAUACAUGCAAGUCGAGCGAACAGACGAGGAGCUUGCUCCUCUGACGUUAGCGGCGGACGGGUGAGUAACACGUGGAUAACCUACCUAUAAGACUGGGAUAACUUCGGGAAACCGGAGCUAAUACCGGAUAAUAUAUUGAACCGCAUGGUUCAAUAGUGAAAGACGGUUUUGCUGUCACUUAUAGAUGGAUCCGCGCCGCAUUAGCUAGUUGGUAAGGUAACGGCUUACCAAGGCAACGAUGCGUAGCCGACCUGAGAGGGUGAGCGGCCACACUGGAACUGAGACACGGGCCAGACUCCUACGGGAGGCAGAAGUAGGGAAUCUUCCGCAAUGGGCGAAAGCCUGACGGAGAAAAGCCGCGUGAGUGAUGAAGGUCUUCGGAGAGUAAAACUCUGUUAUAAGGGAAGAACAAAUGUGUAAGUAACUAUGCACGUCUUGACGGUACCUAAUCAGAAAGCCACGGCUAAAUACGUG
rnacentral:rRNA from 1 species